GUCCGGGUGGCGGAAUUGGCAGACGCGCUAGCUUGAGGUGCUAGUUCCCGCAAGGGAUUGGGAGUUCAAGUCUCCUCUCGGACA
rnacentral:tRNA from 1 species